rnacentral:rRNA from 1 species
AUUGAACGCUGGCGGCAGGCCUAACACAUGCAAGUCGAGCGGUAGAGAGGUGCUUGCACCUCUUGAGAGCGGCGGACGGGUGAGUAAUGCCUAGGAAUCUGCCUGGUAGUGGGGGAUAACGCUCGGAAACGGACGCUAAUACCGCAUACGUCCUACGGGAGAAAGCAGGGGACCUUCGGGCCUUGCGCUAUCAGAUGAGCCUAGGUCGGAUUAGCUAGUUGGUGAGGUAAUGGCUCACCAAGGCGACGAUCCGUAACUGGUCUGAGAGGAUGAUCAGUCACGCUGGAACUGAGACACGGUCCAGACUCCUACGGGGGGCAGCAGUGGGGAAUAUUGGACAAUGGGCGAAAGCCUGAUCCAGCCAUGCCGCGUGUGUGAAGAAGGUCCUCGGAUUGUAAAGCACUUUAAGUUGGGAGGAAGGGUCGUUACCUAAUACGUGACGAUUUUGACGUUACCGACAGAAUAAGCACCGGCUAACUCUGUGCCAGCCGCCGCCGUAACAC